rnacentral:rRNA from 1 species
UCACCGAAAUGGUAAUUCAGCUUAGUACGAGAGGAACCGCUAAUUCAGAUAAUUGGUUUUUGCGGCUACCUGACCGGGUAGUGCCGCGAAGCUACCAUCUGCUGGAUAAUGGCUGAACGCCUCCAAGUUAGAAUCCAUGCCAGAAUGCGGUGA